CCUUCCCCUAGAGGUGUUACAGAUGUGACUGCUGUCACAUGUGUGUCAAUAGGUGGCAGAGAGAAGAGAGGCUUGUCUACGUCCAGUGCUCUGACCUGUGAGCCACUGGGUGAUUGAUAGUCUGACACU
rnacentral:snoRNA from 1 species